GCCAAGUGGCACAACCAAAUAAAAAGAAAAAGAAAAGAAAAAGAGAAAAAGAAAAGAAGAAGAAUAAAAAGUUAGCAGAGAAGGAAAAGAAAAAGCUGGAAAACAUCUUCUUCAACUUUUUUUCCUCUCUUUCCCGUGAACCCAAUAGAAGACCCAUUCCUCCAUUUUUUUUUUCACACCAAAAUUUCUUCAAAAUUCCAUCUCCAAUCAACUAUCCAUCUUCUCCCAACACCUUUUCAAAGAAGAAUUUGAAGAAAAGAAGAGAAAUCAAAGAGAAAAUUCAAGGUUGAGGGAGAAUGAACAGUAACAAAGGGUUUGGAAAUUUAAAGAAGUGGAAGGGAAGAGUGAAAAUUCUAAAGGAAAAGGAAAGGAAAAGGAAAAGAAAAGGAAGAUUAAGAAAUUUUAAACUUUUUUGGAAGGUUAAGGUUGUGGAUCCAAGUAGCAGCAGAUCAAGAUCUGCAUCAAGCCAGUCAGAGUUACAUCAUUAACUACAUUGGGGUAUAUUUUGUAAAUUUUAUAUAAAGUUACUUUUGGAAAAUAUGACAUGUACAUAAAGUUUUCGAGAUAAAGUCAAAUAUGGUUUGAAAUGGAUAUAGUUAAAUAUUUUAAUUUUGGUGUAAAUGUGGAUGAUUAGUAUAA